CUAUAUAUAUAAAAGACAGUUUACUCUUUCCUAGACGUGCCACCUCAGCAGCCACGUAGAUAAGUCGGCUCACCUACGUUUGACACAUGUCACGGGUCACUAAACUCGCCGUUUCAUUAACUCUUGCAUGUCUGAUGGGCUUUGAAUGUAAGCUGUGUAUUCGGCCCGAAAAGAUUUAUUUCGUAUGUAACCCUAAUCCUGAAGGAUCAAUGAAUCGUUUCUUGCCUACGCUCGAUUGCGAGUUUCAUGCCUUACCACUCCUUAUACGAUGUCUCAUUAAUUACGCUCCUUCUUUCUUCCAUCCAUGGUAUGAAUCUACAACCUAUAAAUAUAAUUUAUUUCCUGCAUUGACUAAGAUCGCCUGGACUCUCGAUCCUACAUCCCGAUCCGUCAAAACUCUCUGCAGUUGUCUCAAAUCGGAGAUUUCAAGUACACUUGCUAACGUGAUUCGUGUUUUCCUCACUGAUAUUUCUCCAUGGGUGAGGCUGAUGAUCUGAAAAUUGCUGUGAAGAGCACUAAGAAGCUUUGUAUUGUUAUGAUUGAUAACGUGGGAUGAGUUGCAAGUUAUGAACAACUCUGAGAAAGCUAUUACUCUUCUAUAAGCCAUGUUCGUUUCUUCAACGCUGACUCCAGCGGUUACGUCAAAAAAUUAAGCUUUCAAUGACAGAAACACACGCCACCGGUGAAGCACGAUUCACUGAUUUUCAGUCGCGGCGACAACUACUAGCUAAUAUCACGGACGCGGAAGAAAUCAGCGUCAUCAGCGUCUAAGUUUCUGCGUCUCCGACAAUGUAUUAGUGACUGCUUUGGGUUUUCUGCGUCUACGGCUUUGUUAUUUUUGUCUCCGUCACAGAGCUUUUUUUUGACGCAGCCGCCGCCGGAAGCGGCUAUCAAACGAACAGGGCUAUAGUCUUUCCCAUUAUUUAAUGUGCUUGCCACUGUUCGGUCACUUUGAGAAUGAGAUGAUAUCAUAUAUCUAAUCAAUGGUGUAUUGAGUUUCCUUAUAGUUCCUGUUUGAUGUGUUCAGGCAGUGAAAAAAGCAGAUGCUAUCUUUGUUGGGCAAUACAUAUUCACUGGUACUGAAACAACUUCAGUUUUGCUUGAGCAAUUCCAUGACCACAUUGAACUCUGUCAUGACCACAGUCAUGGAGACUGAGGAUGAAGAAAUCUCUUAGAUCACAAAUCGUUCUGCUGUUCAUCUGGAGAUGGGGCAGAUCAUGAUACGGGAUGGUGAUGAAGCUGCAGCUCAGGAGGAUGAGAUGGUCAGGAACGAGCCUGAGGUAGAGAAGAAAAUGGAACUCGAGCCGGAGUUUGAAAAACAGAAGGAGAAGAAGCAGUUACAAGGAGAGAGAGAUACGGAAACAGCAAGAGGUGAGCGGUUAAAGAGCGAGGCUGCUGAGGCAUAGAGGAAGCGCAUAGAAGAAUAAGAAAGAGGGUCGGGAGAGCGAAGAGCGUGAACUUGCAGAGAGCUCUGCUCGACUGAGAAUGAGCCAAGAGAAAUUACUUCCUCUUGACAGAACUGAGAAAGGACCUGAUGCUACAAGAGUCAGAAGAUGUUAGUUGAUUCUUUGUCGAUGCUAGAUGAAUUCUUUGGAAAAAAAUUUGAAUCAGCAUAAACAUUAUGCAUUACAUUAUACAUAGAUGAAUUAAAAAACCUGUUUUAUUUUGUGUCUCAAACAUUUGGUGGAAAUAUAAUGAUCAUGUUUUGAAACUA